rnacentral:rRNA from 1 species
GACGAACGCUGGCGGCGUGCUUAACACAUGCAAGUCGAACGGAAAGGCCCUGCUUUUGUGGGGUGCUCGAGUGGCGAACGGGUGAGUAACACGUGAGUAACCUGCCCUUGACUUUGGGAUAACUUCAGGAAACUGGGGCUAAUACCGGAUAGGAGCUCCUGCUGCAUGGUGGGGGUUGGAAAGUUUCGGCGGUUGGGGAUGGACUCGCGGCUUAUCAGCUUGUUGGUGGGGUAGUGGCUUACCAAGGCUUUGACGGGUAGCCGGCCUGAGAGGGUGACCGGCCACAUUGGGACUGAGAUACGACCCAGACUCCUACGGGGGGCAGCAGGGGGGAAUAUUGCACAAUGGGGGGAAGCCUGAUGGCGCAACGCCGGUGGGGGGAUGACGGCCUUGGGGUUGUAACCCGCUUUCGCCUGGGACGAAGCGGGAGUGACGGUAAUGGGUAAAGAAGCACCGGCUAACUACGU